rnacentral:rRNA from 1 species
CACUCCUACGGGAGGCAGCAGUGGGGAAUUUUGGACAAUGGGCGAAAGCCUGAUCCAGCAAUGCCGCGUGAGUGAACAAGGCCUUCGGGUUGUAAAGCUCUUUUGUCAGGGAAGAAACGGUGAGAGCUAAUAUCUUUUGCUAAUGACGGUACCUGAAGAAUAAGCACCGGCUAACUACGUGCCAGCAGCCGCGGUAAUACGUAGGGUGCAAGCGUUAAUCGGAAUUACUGGGCGUAAAGCGUGCGCAGGCGGUUUUGUAAGUCUGAUGUGAAAUCCCCGGGCUCAACCUGGGAAUUGCAUUGGAGACUGCAAGGCUAGAAUCUGGCAGAGGGGGGUAGAAUUCCACGUGUAGCAGUGAAAUGCGUAGAUAUGUGGAGGAACACCGAUGGCGAAGGCAGCCCCCUGGGUCAAGAUUGACGCUCAUGCACGAAAGCGUGGGGAGCAAACAGGAUUAGAUACCCGUGUAGUCCCAUGA